rnacentral:rRNA from 1 species
AAAAAGCUAAAAUAAAACUUAAAGGCAGAAGCCCUUAAACUUUACCCAACACAAUUUAAAACUUAUCUCUGUNUUCAGCUGGGCGGCAUAAGAUUCNCACAUCUUAAAAUNUUAAUAAAUUUUAUCAUACCCAGAAUUUCUGAAAAUUAAAUAAGCUACUUCAGGGAUAACAGCGUAAUCCAUUUCGAAAGACCUAUCGACAAAAGUGAUUGCGACCUCGAUGUUGGAUUGU